AAUCUGUGACAAUAUAAAACCGGGCGCCAAAUUUGGAUUUCAAAAAUAUAUGCUACCUGAAAUUUUAAUUCAUUAUUUCGGAAUCUAAUCAAGAAGUCUGUGAUUUGCGGCCAUUUUAUGAAGCAGUAGUUCGUUUCAGAUUCUGUUAUACAAUAUGUACAUUACAAUUGAAGCACCGGAUAAAUCAAGAUCGGUGACGGCAUGCAAGACGACUGGAAAAUGACCUAAAUUACUUGUCUGGACGCAUGGAACAUCGCGUGAUAUGGAUAAAAAAAGUUGCACCCUCUUUUGCAGGAGUGGCGGUUUUGUAAAAUAAAAAUAUCUAAACCUUUUAUAAAAGUACUUAUUUAAAAUUGAUUUAGUAAGAUUUGAUUAUACAAAGUGAAUAAAAUACACAGAUUACAAAUUAAAUUAAAUUACAAAAAGUCAUUAAUAUUGUUAAUAAGUUACUAGCAAUCUGUUCUAAAUUUAACUGUAAGUAUUUUGUUAGACUUUAAAACUUGCAACAAAACAUUUACUCGCAUUUUCAUCACAUCUAAUUAAAAAUAAUGACUGGUUUAAAAAAAAUAUAAAA